rnacentral:lncRNA from 1 species
GGGGGUUGUGAAAGUGUUUUUGCAAAUUAAAACGGGAAAUUAAACACAAUCGAACAUAAUUGAAAGCAUUAAAGUGCAUAAAAAAAAAUUAAACUGAACAGAUAGAAAAUGAAGACAAGUCGAAUGGCACAAUCAGAGACUAAACAGUCUAAACGCAACAGAACCAGAAAAUGCAGAAUUCAUCCGAAUUUGAAAAACAAAAUGCUGAAAUAGUAAACUGAACAAUGUAACAAAUAAAUAUCAAAAUAAAAUUAAAGCUACUAAAAUGGAAGAGCUAAUAAGUGAAAUGCAUAUUGCGGAAAUGAAAGAAAAAAAAAUACAGCUCCUAAAUAUAUAUAUAUAUAUAUAUAUAUAUAUAUAUAUAUAUAUUAUAAAAAAAAAGUUUCGGUUCAUUUGUCAAGAAAAAAAAAAUAAAAAAUAAAAAAAAUAAGAAACUUUUGUGGAAGAAACCGUGUUGACAUAAAAAAUAAAGUUUUGAAAUCAAAAGUGUGAACCAAUCUCAAAGAAAACUGACGCUUCUCCAUUUUCUAAAGGAAAGAAUUUGAAUGAUGUGGCCAUGUGUGCAGCGCCCUAAAAGAACAUUAAAAAAACAAACCAAAAAGAAGUUGCGGUUAGAUGUUACCACGCCUUUUUCAUUGAAUGAAAAUCAUGUGCAUAAAAUAAAAAGAAAACGAAGACUAAUUAGUAAUUCUCUUUCUUCAAAUCAUCAGCGAAAAUGCUGCUGCUAUCGGACGUGACCGAAACUAAACGCUGGAUGCGUGGUGAGCUUGAAUAAAAACCAAAUGCAAAAAAAAAAAAUAGAUUGUAACAUAACAGCGUUUUUGCAUCAAAGAAAAUUCAACAAGCUACACUUAUCUUGAGUCUCCGUUUUUGCUUUCAAAAUGAAAAGAAAAAUGAAAUUUACCACCUUCAAGGAUGGCGGUUGGACCUCCUUCUCAUUCAGCCAAAGUCUAGGAAAAUAAACAUUGUUUUUCAGGAAGAAGUUCCGUAAAAGUGCUCAAGCAAAGAAAGGUUUCCAGCCGAGAGAAAGUCCUCCAAAGUCUGCCCAAAAUUCCAACGUUCCAGCCCCUCUGAUAUAUGUGACGGCUGGAAUAACCUCUCCCUAAGAUCAUGUGUCCUAAAAUUGGAGUGGGGUCCACCCUAAAAUAAAAGGGAACCCUAGGUCUAGUGUCCUACAAUUUUGGGCCCAUCAUAAAAUUUUCAAAAUUGGCCCAAGAUGCAAAGAGUUUGUCUAAAAAGUUUUAACAAUAAAAUUACACUACAACUAAAAUUUAAAAUGUCUAAUCUUAGAGUCUUGAAUUUAU